GAUGAACGCUAGCGGCAGGCCUAAUACAUGCAAGUCGAACGGUGUCUUCGGACAUAGUGGCGCACGGGUGCGUAACACGUAUGCAACCUACCUUACAUUGGGGGAUAGCCUUUCGAAAGGGAGAUUAAUACCGCAUAAGACAGUAGCUGGGCAGCCAGCAGCUGUUAAAGAUUUAUCGAUGUAAGCUGGGCAUGCGUCCAAUUAGCUAGUUGGUGAGGUAACGGCUCACCAAGGCAAUGAUUGGUAGGGGAACUGAGAGGUCAAUCCCCCACACUGGCACUGAGAUACGGGCCAGACUCCUACGGGAGGCAGCAGUAGGGAAUAUUGGGCAAUGGACGCAAGUCUGACCCAGCCAUGCCGCGUGCAGGAUGAAGGCGUUAUGCGUUGUAAGCUGCUUUUAUACAGGAAGAAACGACUCUUGCGAGAGGCAUUGACGGUACUGUAUGAAUAAGCACCGGCUAACUCCGUGCCAGCAGCCGCCGUAAAAC
rnacentral:rRNA from 1 species